UACGAAGGGUGCAAGCGUUACUCGGAAUUACUGGGCGUAAAGCGUGCGUAGGCGGUUUGUUAAGUCUGUCGUGAAAGCCCCGGGCUCAACCUGGGAAUGGCGAUGGAUACUGGCGAGCUAGAGUACGGUAGAGGAGAGUGGAAUUCCCGGUGUAGCAGUGAAAUGCGCAGAUAUCGGGAGGAACACCGGUGGCGAAGGCGGUUCUCUGGGCCUGACCUGACGCUGAGGAGCGAAAGCGUGGGGAGCGAACAGG
rnacentral:rRNA from 1 species